rnacentral:tRNA from 1 species
GACUGAGGUGGUACCGAGUGGUCGAAGGCGAUGGACUGCUAAAAUUUCAUUGUGCUCUGCACGCGUUUGGGUUCGAAUCCCAUCCGCUCGUCG